AAUCAACGCUGGCGGCGUGCCUCAGACAUGCAAGUCGAACGAUUAAAGCUCUCUUCGGAGAGUGCAUAGAGUGGCGCACGGGUGAGUAACACGUAAGUAAUCUACCUUCGAGUGGGGAAUAACGUCCGGAAACGGACGCUAAUACCGCAUAAUGCAGCGGCAUCGCAAGAUGACAGUUGUUAAAGAUUUAUCGCUUGAAGAGGAGCUUGCGGCAGAUUAGCUAGUUGGUAAGGUAAUGGCUUACCAAGGCUACGAUCUGUAACCGGUCUAAGAGGACGGUCGGUCACACUGACACUGAAUAACGGGUCAGACUCCUACGGGAGGCAGCAGUCGGGAAUUUUGGGCAAUGGGCGAAAGCCUGACCCACGCAACGCCGCGUGAAGGAUGAAGUAUUUCGGUAUAGUAAACUUA
rnacentral:rRNA from 1 species